CUUAAGUGUGGCCAUGAGUUUUCGUGUUCAACUUUAAUGGUCUGUCUUAUUUAAAAAAAUAUGAAUAAACUUUUUAUUGUUAUUAGAUGAUAAAACAUAAAUUGUACUACGUGACUUAUAUUUUUAAUUUCUUUUCAAAUUUUUUUCAAAUAAGACGAACAAUCAAAACUGAAUACGAAAACUUAUGAUUAGGUUUAAA
rfam:Oryza rufipogon genomic scaffold, chr09